AUUGAACGCUGGCGGCAGGCCUAACACAUGCAAGUCGAGCGAGCGGCGGAAGGGUGAGUAAUGUAUGGGGAUCUGCCUGAUGGCGGGGGAUAAGUAAUGGAAACGGAAGCUAAAAACGCAUAGACUCAGAUGAACCCAUAUAGGAGUAGGUUGUAGGUGAGGUAAAGGCAUACCUAGGCGACGAUCCCUAGCUGGUCUGAGAGGAUGAUCAGCCACACUGGGACUGAGACACGGCCCAGACUCCUACGGGAGGCAGCAGUGGGGAAUAUUGCACAAUGGGCGAAAUCCUGAUGUAGCCAUGCCGCGUGUAUGAAGAAGGCCUUCGGGUUGUAAAGUACUUUCAGUCGGGAGGCGUUACCGACAGAAGAAGCACCGGCUAACUCCGUGCCAGCAGCCGCGGUAAUUC
rnacentral:rRNA from 1 species